AAUCGAUGAUGUGGACACGAUCUAAGCAUACUUUUGAAUCUAUCCCACACUUCAUAAAGAGAUUCCAUAUUAGUCUAUUUAAAGUUAAUAAUCUGAUUUUUCAUGUG